AUGGAGCUUCGCCGGACCCCGUGGUGCUGCGUUGGAGCUCUUGGCGCGCUGUUGAGAGCCGCAAUGGAGCUUCGUGGGGAUAACGAGGAGAUCGCGGCCAAGAUCUUCGGGACGCGGUGGUCGUCGUCGCGGACCGCUCCUCCGCCGACCCGCGCAAGUUCCCCGGUGCUAAGGUACCUCGAGGAGUUCGCGCGGCGGUUCGACCCCCUCGGGCUGGUCCGGUUCGGGACGGAGGUGGUGAGCGUCCACCGCAGCAGGGACGACGACGCGGGCUGGAGGGUGAGGCUCGCCUGCGCUGGCAGCGAGUUGGAGGAGGAGUUAGGUGCAAUCUCUGCCCUGAAAUCAUCACGAAAUGCCUUUGCUGGAGCUCACCUAUGGCCUUGUUUGUCCUGCAGGUUAGUGAGCAGCAUCAGGAGGAGGAGCUUCCUCACUCCGCCCCGGAUCUGCGGCUGCCCCACGCUGGCCAUGGACUCCGUCCUAGGGUUUCCACCGCCGCCGCCGGAGAGGGGAGGGGAGGAGUGUAGAAGGACCAGAGCGAGAUGGCCGGACGGCUCCUCGGGCAGCUCCUCGUCAUGGGCAGCGCCGUCGUCGGCAGGGCCGUGGUGCAGGCCUACCGCCAGACCAUCGUCAGUGAGUGCCCUUGCUGUCCAAAACUCGGUGGAAUUUUGCAGCUAUUCCUAG
rnacentral:rRNA from 1 species